rnacentral:rRNA from 1 species
UCUGGUUGAUCCUGCCAGUAGUUAUAUGCUUGUCUCAAAGAUUAAGCCAUGCAUGUCUAAGUACACACGAAUUAAAAGUGAAACCGCAAAAGGCUCAUUAUAUCAGUUAUGGUUCCUUAGAUCGUUAACAGUUACUUGGAUAACUGUGGUAAUUCUAGAGCUAAUACAUGCAAUUAAAACAUGAACCUUAUGGGACAUGUGCUUUUAUUAGGCUAAAACCAAGCGAUCGCAAGAUCGUUAUAUUGGUUGAACUCUAGAUAACAUGCAGAUCGUAUGGUCUUGUACCGACGACAGAUCUUUCAAAUGUCUGCCCUAUCAACUUUUGAUGGUAGUAUCUAGGACUACCAUGGUUGCAACGGGUAACGGGGAAUCAGGGUUCGAUUCCGGAGAGGGAGCCUGAGAAACGGCUACCACAUCUAAGGAAGGCAGCAGGCGCGUAAAUUACCCACUCCCAGCUCGGGGAGGUAGUGACGAAAAAUAACAAUACAGGACUCAUAUCCGAGGCCCUGUAAUUGGAAUGAGUACACUUUAAAUCCUUUAACAAGGACCAAUUGGAGGGCAAGUCUGGUGCCAGCAGCCGCGGUAAUUCCAGCUCCAAUAGCGUAUAUUAAAGUUGUUGCGGUUAAAACGUUCGUAGUUGAACUUGUGCUUCAUACGGGUAGUACAACUUACAAUUGUGGUUAGUACUAUACCUUUAUGUAUGUAAGCGUAUUACCGGUGGAGUUCUUAUAUGUGAUUAAAUACUUGUAUUUUUCAUAUGUUCCUCCUAUUUAAAAACCUGCAUUAGUGCUCUUAAACGAGUGUUAUUGUGGGCCGGUACUAUUACUUUGAACAAAUUAGAGUGCUUAAAGCAGGCUUCAAAUGCCUGAAUAUUCUGUGCAUGGGAUAAUGAAAUAAGACCUCUGUUCUGCUUUCAUUGGUUUUCAGAUCAAGAGGUAAUGAUUAAUAGAAGCAGUUUGGGGGCAUUAGUAUUACGACGCGAGAGGUGAAAUUCUUGGACCGUCGUAAGACUAACUUAAGCGAAAGCAUUUGCCAAAGAUGUUUUCAUUAAUCAAGAACGAAAGUUAGAGGUUCGAAGGCGAUCAGAUACCGCCCUAGUUCUAACCAUAAACGAUGCCAGCUAGCAAUUGGGUGUAGCUACUUUUAUGGCUCUCUCAGUCGCUUCCCGGGAAACCAAAGCUUUUGGGCUCCGGGGAAGUAUGGUUGCAAAGCUGAAACUUAAAGGAAUUGACGGAAGGGCACCACCAGGAGUGGAGCCUGCGGCUUAAUUUGACUCAACACGGGAAAACUUACCAGGUCCGAACAUAAGUGUGUAAGACAGAUUGAUAGCUCUUUCUCGAAUCUAUGGUGGUGGUGCAUGGCCGUUCUUAGUUCGUGGAGUGAUUUGUCUGGUUAAUUCCGAUAACGAACGAGACUCAAAUAUAUUAAAUAGAUAUCUUCAGGAUUAUGGUGCUGAAGCUUAUGUAGCCUUCAUUCAUGUUGGCAGUAAAAUGCUUAUUGUGUUUGAAUGUGUUUAUGUAAGUGGAGCCGUACCUGUUGGUUUGUCCCAUUAUAAGGACACUAGCUUCUUAAAUGGACAAAUUGCGUCUAGCAAUAAUGAGAUUGAGCAAUAACAGGUCUGUGAUGCCCUUAGAUGUCCUGGGCUGCACGCGCGCUACAAUGAAAGUAUCAACGUGUAUUUCCUAGACCGAGAGGUCCGGGUAAACCGCUGAACCACUUUCAUGCUUGGGAUUGUGAACUGAAACUGUUCACAUGAACUUGGAAUUCCCAGUAAGUGUGAGUCAUUAACUCGCAUUGAUUACGUCCCUGCCCUUUGUACACACCGCCCGUCGCUACUACCGAUUGAAUUAUUUAGUGAGGUCUCCGGACGUGAUCACUGUGACGCCUUGCGUGUUACGGUUGUUUCGCAAAAGUUGACCGAACUUGAUUAUUUAGAGGAAGUAAAAGUCGUAACAAGGUUUCCGUAGGUGAACCUGCGGAAG